rnacentral:lncRNA from 1 species
GACGAAAGUGUGAAUGAGGUAGAUAUAGAAAAUGUGGAGAUGGAUCGUAGCCCAGUUCUUGGUCGUAAGCGUACCGCCAAAGAAGGGACCAACAAAGUCAAGCGUCGACGUACACAACCUAUGGAUGAGAGUACUAUCGCCCUAUCGAAGAUUGCCGAAUCAUCUACAAAAAUUGCUCAAGCUAUGGAAAUGCAAACUGCGCUAUAUACACUGAAUCAUGUCAACUGGCAGUUGAUUCUAGAGAAACUAGAAGCCAUGAACCUAGAUAUGGACGACGUCAUGCAAGUCAUGAAAGCUUUUCGAUCCGACGAUGGUUUGGCUAAGGUAUUUAUGAAUGUGACUAAUACUGCAUACAUGCGUGCUUUGGUGUUUGACAAGCUUGGUCGUGAUCCGCCUCCACUACCGUAGACUGUACUUGACUUAUGG